rnacentral:lncRNA from 1 species
GGCCAUUUUGGAUAGGAGAAUGGUCAAACGCAAAAAUGUUGCAGCUACGCAACUUCUGAUUCACUGGAAGGGACUUUCUCCAACUGAUGCAUCUUGGGAGUAUGCUGAUGAGUUGAGAGCCAGAUUUUCUGAAGAAAUCUGAUUGGGGGGGGGAUAGUUGAUACGAGAAAUGCUAUUGUUAUGUGAAGAACAAUAAAAUGUGCAUGGACUGUUAGAGACAUGGUGCGUAGCAACGAGAAGAAAGAAAUAAAAUGGAAAGAUUGUUAAUCGUUGGAAAAGGAGUAACAGAAGUGGUUAAGC